rnacentral:rRNA from 1 species
UACGUAGGCAGCGAGCGUUGUUCGGAGUUACUGGGCGUAAAGGGUGUGUAGGCGGUCCUCUAAGUUUGGUGUGAAAUCUCCCGGCUCAACCGGGAGGGUGCGCCGAAAACUGGGGGGCUAGAGUGCGGGAUGGGUAAGUGGAAUUCCUGGUGUAGCGGUGAAAUGCGUAGAUAUCAGAAGGAACAUCAGUGGCGAAAGCGGCUUCCUGGUCCAGUACCGACGUUCAGGCACGAAAGCGUGGGGGAGCAAACAGG